GUGAGGAAUAUUGGUCAAUGGGCGGGAGCCUGAACCAGCCAAGUCGCGUGAAGGAAGAAGGAUCUAUGGUUCGUAAACUUCUUUUGCAGGGGAAUAAAGUGCAGGACGUGUCCUGUUUUGUAUGUACCCUGAGAAUAAGGAUCGGCUAACUCCGUGCCAGCAGCCGCGGUAAUACGGAGGAUCCGAGCGUUAUCUGGAUUUAUUGGGUUUAAAGGGUGCGUAGGUGGUUUGAUAAGUCAGCGGUGAAAGUUUGCAGCUUAACUGUAAAAAUGCCGUUGAAACUGUCGGACUUGAGUGUAAAUGAGGUAGGCGGAAUGCGUGGUGUAGCGGUGAAAUGCAUAGAUAUCACGCAGAACUCCGAUUGCGAAGGCAGCUUACUAAGCUACAACUGACACUGAAGCACGAAAGCGUGGGGAUCAAACAGGAUUAGAAACCCUUGUAGUCC
rnacentral:rRNA from 1 species